GCAGCUCAUAUGCAUAAAGAAAAUAUCAUUAGCUUUCCAUAAUCCAAUUUAACAUAAACUUGCUCUAUACAAAAAUUUGCUUGGAGUGAUCGAGAACCAAAUUCAGGUGCAAAGGAGUUAAGGAGGAGUUCUUGUAAAACCCAAUGUUAAUGAAAAAUGAAAACAGUCGCAAAACAUUUUCAGGAGUAAUUAUGUGACAGCAACUAACCUUG
rnacentral:misc_RNA from 1 species